GUGGGGGGAGGCUGGGGACCUUCCCGGGGGGCACAAAUCUUGUCUCGUCACUGAAGGAUGCACACAGCUCAUGGAGACCACGUCAACCACCGGCCUAAGGAAAGCAGUGGGAAAGCUUAAGUGUGACGCGGCUUAAGCAGCUUGUCUGAGUUUGCACAGCUGGCAAAUGGCUGAGCCAUGACUCACACCCAGGUCCAUCCACCGCCAAAGCUCCAGAUCUCUGGCAUCCUUCUAAGGUCAGAAAGGGAAAGAAAUCCCUAAUAAGGAGCCUGUGUGACGGCGUGCCCCCCUCCACUUUCCCACCCCCGCCAAGGACCCGUUUGAAGGCUGUUCACACCAGUCACUGCAAUCACCAUUGAGCACAGAGAUGACAGUUCCAGCAAGCACUGACCUUCCAGCCCACUCUGCGGAGGAGAAGACUGAGGGGCAGAGACGAUGUUGAUUUGCUGCAGUUGACUCUGACCCUAAUUUCCCAGCGCUGACUCAAACUCAUCAAGAACACUGCUUUCACUGAGUGUAUGAGUGAUUUCUCCAUCCGUGUGGCUUUACCUGAACUCACACCGGUCCCACGGCCCAGGUGUGGGGCCGAGCACUCCCCUCUGCCUCCUCCCUGGACUGCAGGACCUGUGUCUCGCUUUAUGAAAGAGGUGCCAUUUGGGGAAGACUCGCAUUGUCAGGAGCGCUGUGGACGCUCCGGGCGGAGAUCAACACGAUGAUGAUGCCGGGUGGAGGGAAUGUGCGCUUCUCAGGAGCCAGAAGAGAAUAAUCUGAAUGUCUCCAGCAUCAAGAAAAGACCAGUAUUGAAGGUGAUGGAUGCCUUAAUUACGCUGAUUGGAUCUUUACAAAUUAUAUUAAUGUAUUAAGUUAUUACAUGUAUGCAGAAACUCUGUACACCUAUUAUGCACCAAUAAAAAAGAAAUUUUUUAAAGUGA
rnacentral:lncRNA from 1 species